rnacentral:tRNA from 1 species
GGAGAGUAGGCAAAUAGUGGUUUGUUGCAACCGACUGCUAAUCGGUUUUGUUCAAAAGGCAAUGAGAGUUCGAUUCUCUUGCUCUCCG